UUACCCACAGUUAACCGUGGUCUGGAAGCAGAUGAUCCUCCUUCUGACAUACUGUCAGCAGGCCAACAGGAGCCUAAUGCCGUUCCAAUGUCUACGCCGCUCCACGACAUCUCAUCACAUAGGCGUUUUACCAUCUCACAGCUUCACAGGAAGAAGUGACGAAUGUCCACCUGGCCCUUCCUUAGGAUUCCAGAGAGAACAGAACACCUUAUUGACGAAGCCUCCGGGAUCUGGCACUGAAAGUCAACCUGUCUGAGUUCAGAUAUGUGCUCCAUCAUUAAUUAACUAUGUGACUUCUGCUGAUUAUGUAAGCCUCCUCAGCCUCAGUUUGCUCAUCUGUAAUUUGGGGAUAAUUUUUACCUAUUAUCUUUUUUGGAUGUGACAACUGGAUUUAAUGAGGUACUAUAUGCAAAACUCCAUUUAAGAACAAUAUUGGUGCCUAUAUGUGUUACUACUCAGUAUUGAGUCAAACAAGGGGAGUCUGAAUUACUAGGACAUUCCCAACUUCUCAGUAAAGAUAACUCAGUAGUAA